GCUAGGAUCAUUUGAAAGCUUCAGU
rnacentral:piRNA from 1 species